AUGAGCUCCUGCGCGGCGACCGGGAGGCACAGGAACGAGCUGUCGCGGCCACGAACGGCACACCAGUGGCAGCAGCAACGUGCACGCGCCAGGUCUUCCGGGAGGCAGAAGCUCACGACACGUCCGAUAAGUUCAGAUCCUAGAUUGGGGAUGUCCACAUGUGUACUACCUGAUGAGCUGGUAGUAGACAUCCUGUCUCGACUGCCGCUAAAGUCCUUGUGCCGCAUCAAAUGUGUCUGCAAGUCUUGGCUUGCCCUCUCAUCUCAUCCAUACUAUCGGCAAAAGCUCCCAAGAACUCCCGCUGGCCUCUUGUACCAGAAAUUUGAGCGUGGCAGAGUUGCCUCCCCUCUUGGCAGUGCCAUCCAUCUCGCCAGACUGCCCUCAGGUGACAAGGAAAUUGACACAACACUUAGCUUUGUGCCAUGUUAUAAGUACCCAAUACAGCUUCGGGGUUGCUGCAAUGGCCUACUUCUUUGUUAUCAGAAAAUUAGAAGUGAAGAAAUUUCCAAUGCUAUUGUGUGCAAUCCAGCAACUCAAGAGUGGAUGGCACUUCCAGAUACUGAACCUGGCCCGGCCCGCUCCAAUAUUGCAUUUGAGUUGUGUUUCGAUCCAUUAUGGUCUGAACACUUCUAUGUCUUCAAAUUCCAGUCUAUCGAGGUCAUGAGCUGUAUCAACACUGAAGUUAAGGUAUUUUUCUCUAAGGAUUCCACAUGGUCUAGCUGUCUUUGGAAAACUAGAGAUCCAUUUGAAGGUGAUUCUCUCUUUGUAAAUGGGGUGUUGUAUCUGAAGCACUUCAUCUUGAAUAAAAUCCUGGCGCUAGACGCACCUGACAGAUGUACACAAGGGCUCAACCAUAGGUUCAUUCAGCUGCCAGGAUAUCCAGAUAGGACGGACAUAUUUUGCUGUUAUAACGGCCGUCUUAGCCAGUCCUCAGGCGUCUUGUGCUAUGCGAAACAAGAAUUAGAUGGCUGUGCGAUACGGAUUUGGAGUUUGGAAGGCCCCGACAGGUGGGUAGUGAAGCAUCGUCUGAGUAUGGUCGAUGUAUUUGGGAGGGACAUGUUACUCCGCACUCACAGUGAUGGAUAUUGGCAUUUCGAUUAUGACAUCAGGACUGUUAACCUGGAGAGGGAGCUGGUUAUCCUUGAUGACGAAAUUGCUGAUAAGAUCAUCUCGGUUAGCAUCAGCACUGGAAAAGGCUCACAGUUUCAAAAGAUUCCAAGAAGAUUCACUAAACUAUAUCUCAGUCUAUUCUAUGUGCCGUACUAUGGCAAGUUUCCAGCUUUGGCCGGUUAA
rnacentral:rRNA from 1 species